rnacentral:rRNA from 3 species
AAACUUUCAACAACGGAUCUCUUGGCUCUGGCAUCGAUGAAGAACGCAGCGAAAUGCGAUAAGUAAUGUGAAUUGCAGAAUCCAGUGAAUCAUCGAAUCUUUGAACGCACAUUGCGCCCGCCAGCAUUCUGGCGGGCAUGCCUGUUCGAGCGU